rnacentral:rRNA from 1 species
ACCAACACACACUUCUUCCCUAUUGACAGAGCUUUACGACCCUAAGGCCUUCAUCACUCACGCGGCGUCGCUGCAUCAGGGUUUCCCCCAUUGUGCAAAAUUCCUC